CCUACGGGAGGCAGCAGUAGGGAAUCUUCCACAAUGGGCGAAAGCCUGAUGGAGCAACGCCGCGUGGGUGAAGAAGGUCUUCGGAUCGUAAAACCCUGUUGUUAGAGAAGAAAGUGCGUGAGAGUAACUGUUCACGUUUCGACGGUAUCUAACCAGAAAGCCACGGCUAACUACGUGCCAGCAGCCGCGGUAAUACGUAGGUGGCAAGCGUUAUCCGGAUUUAUUGGGCGUAAAGGGAACGCAGGCGGUCUUUUAAGUCUGAUGUGAAAGGCUUCGGCUUAACCGGAGUAGUGCAUUGGAAACUGGGAGACUUGAGUGCAGAAGAGGAGAGUGGAACUCCAUGUGUAGCGGUGAAAUGCGUAGAUAUAAGGAAGAACACCAGUGGCGAAAGCGGCUCUCUGGUCUGUAACUGACGCUGAGGUUCGAAAGCGUGGGUAGCAAACAGGAUUAGAUACCCCAGUAGUC
rnacentral:rRNA from 1 species